UAUUGGUCAAUGGGCGCGCGCCUGAACCAGCCACGUAGCGUGAAGGAUGACUGCCCUAUGGUUUGUAAACUUCUUUUAUAUGGGAAUAACGUUUUUCACGUGUGGAAUUUUGUAUGUACCAUAUGAAUAAGGAUCGGCUAACUCCGUGCCAGCAGCCGCGGUAAUACGGAGGAUCCGAGCGUUAUCCGGAUUUAUUGGGUUUAAAGGGAGCGUAGGUGGAUUGUUAAGUCAGUUGUGAAAGUUUGCGGCUCAACCGUAAAAUUGCAGUUGAAACUGGCAGUCUUGAGUACAGUAGAGGUGGGCGGAAUUCGUGGUGUAGCGGUGAAAUGCUUAGAUAUCACGAAGAACUCCGAUUGAGAAGGCAGCUCACUGGACUGUUAACUGACACUGAGGCUCGAAAGUGUGGGUAUCAAACAG
rnacentral:rRNA from 1 species